rnacentral:tRNA from 2 species
GGUGGCCCAGGCGGGCAUUAUCGGCUUUGUGGGGCUGGUGGCCCCGCACAUCCUGCGCCGGUUAGGGGGCGGCGACUACCGC